rnacentral:rRNA from 1 species
AUUGAACGCUGGCGGCAGGCCUAACACAUGCAAGUCGAGCGGAGCGGCGGACGGGUGAGUAAUGCCUAGGAAUCUGCCUGGUAGUGGGGGAUAACGUCCGGAAACGGGCGCUAAUACCGCAUACUAUCAGAUGAGACUAGGUCGGAUUAGCUAGUUGGUGGGGUAAAGGCCUACCAAGGCGACGAUCCGUAACUGGGCUGCGAGGAUGAUCAGCCACAAUGGAACUGAGACACGGUCCAGACUCAUACGGGAGGCAGCAGUGGGGAAUAUUGGACAAUGGGCGAAAGCCUGAUCCAGCCAUGCCGAGUGUGUGAAGAAGGUCUUCGGAUUGUAAAGCACUUUAAGUUGGGAGGCGGAAAGAAAAGAAUAAGCAACGGCUAACGUCGUGCCAGCAGCCGCGGUAAUAG